rnacentral:lncRNA from 1 species
GGAGUGGGUGGGCAAACGGGGCAGACCGAGGGGAUAGGCUCCCCAGUCUCCCCUCCAAGCCCCCCACUCUGUCCACUGCUCCCGAAGGUGGAGGAAGUUAUGCCUCUGGCUCCCUCCCUCCCUCCCUCCUUUUGUGUACAAGCUGUCUACGACAGGGGGUGGGAGGGGGCAUGCAGAUGCAGGGGGUGGUGGCGUGGCUCCGCAACUUUGGAAACUGCCAUUUCAUUCACACAGGCGCUGCCUGGGGGAGGGGGCUGCUUCAGGCUGCAGAAUUCUAGUUCUCACCAGCACACAGGCAACCCCACUCGCGGCGGUGUGGGGCCGGCCGCUCAGAGGAAGCACCGAGCUCUCCGACCCAGCUACCGGGGGCACCCCUUAGAGAAGAACCCCAGCCUGGGGUGGGGACGCACCGGCUCUCCGACAGCUCAAACACAGACAGAUCUUCUAGAGCAGGGGGAAUUUCUUUUCGCAGAAGCCAUUACUCCCCCCUGUUUCUUCAACUGUGAAAUGGAGUUCGUAGUGGCGCUUGAGAAAGCUCUUAGUCUCCAGCCCAGCCGGGAGAGGUGGCUCAUGCCUGUAAUCCUAGAACUUUGGGAGGCCGAGGCGAGAAGAUCACCUGAGGUCGGGAGUUCAACACCAACUUGA